rnacentral:rRNA from 1 species
GAGUUUGAUCGUGGCUCAGAUUGAACGCUGGCGGCAUGCCUUACACAUGCAAGUCGAACGGCAGCAUGAUCUAGCUUGCUAGAUUGAUGGCGAGUGGCGAACGGGUGAGUAAUACAUCGGAACGUGCCCUGUAGUGGGGGAUAACUAGUCGAAAGAUUAGCUAAUACCGCAUACGACCUGAGGGUGAAAGUGGGGGACCGCAAGGCCUCAUGCUAUAGGAGCGGCCGAUGUCUGAUUAGCUAGUUGGUGGGGUAAAGGCCCACCAAGGCGACGAUCAGUAGCUGGUCUGAGAGGACGAUCAGCCACACUGGGACUGAGACACGGCCCAGACUCCUACGGGAGGCAGCAGUGGGGAAUUUUGGACAAUGGGCGAAAGCCUGAUCCAGCAAUGCCGCGUGCGUGAAGAAGGCCU